GACGAACGCUGGCGGCGUGCUUAACACAUGCAAGUCGAACGGAAAGGCCCUGCUUUUGUGGGGUGCUCGAGUGGCGAACGGGUGAGUAACACGUGAGUAACCUGCCCUUGACUUUGGGAUAACUUCAGGAAACUGGGGCUAAUACCGGAUAGGAGCUCCUGCUGCAUGGUGGGGGUUGGAAAGUUUCGGUGGUUGGGGAUGGACUCGAGGCUUAUUAGCUUGUUGGUGGGGUAGUGGCUUACCAAGGCUUUGACGGGUAGCCGGCCUGAGAGGGUGACCGGCCACAUUGGGACUGAGAUAAGGCCCAGACUCCUACGGGAGGCAGCAGUGGGGAAUAUUGCACAAUGGGCGGAAGCCUGAUGCAGCAACGCCGCGUGCGGGAUGACGGCCUUCGGGUUGUAAACCGCUUUCGCCUGUGACGAAGCGUGAGUGACGGUAAUGGGUAAAGAAGCACCGGCUAACUACGUG
rnacentral:rRNA from 1 species